rnacentral:rRNA from 1 species
UACGUAGGGUGCAAGCGUUAAUCGGAAUUACUGGGCGUAAAGCGUGCGCAGGCGGUUUUGUAAGUCUGUCGUGAAAGCCCCGGGCUUAACCUGGGAACUGCAUUUGGGACUGCAAGGCUUGAGUACAGCAGAGGGGGGUAGAAUUCCUGGUGUAGCAGUGAAAUGCGUAGAUAUCAGGAGGAACACCGGUGGCGAAGGCGGUGGUCUGGGCCGGAACUGACGCUGAGGAGCGAAAGCGUGGGGAGCGAACAGG